rnacentral:rRNA from 1 species
AGCGAACGCUGGCGGCAGGCCUAACACAUGCAAGUCGAACGCCGUAGCAAUACGGAGUGGCAGACGGGUGAGUAACGCGUGGGAACAUACCCCCUCGGUUCGGAAUAACUCAGGGAAACUUGAGCUAAUACCGGAUACGUCCGUAAGGAGAAAGAUUUAUCGCCGAAGGAUCGGCCCGCGUCGGAUUAGCUAGUUGGUGAGGUAACGGCCCACCAAGGCGACGAUCCGUAGCUGGUCUGAGAGGAUGAUCAGCCACACUGGGACUGAGACACGGCCCAGACUCCUACGGGAGGCAGCAGUGGGGAAUAUUGGACAAUGGGCGAAAGCCUGAUCCAGCCAUGCCGCGUGAGUGAAGAAGGCCUUAGGGUUGUAAAGCUCUUUCAGCGGGGAAGAUAAUGACGGUACCCG